GCACGAAAAAUCCAAAAAAACCGAUCCCAGCCUCCAUUUCCAAAUCUGGACCUGGGCCCGCCCCAAAUGCGCCGGCCUCGCGCCGCCGCCCCCGCGCGCCGUCGAUGACUCCCGCCCCUCCGAACGCCGGCGGCGACCUCUUCACCGCCAACCUCACGGGUGCACUCCUCGCGGUCGCCUCCUCCGCCUUCAUAGGCGUCAGCUUCAUCGUCAAGAAGAAGGGCCUCCGCCGCGCCGGCGCCGCCGGCACCCGCGCAGGUGUUGGGGGCUAUGGAUACCUCCUGGAGCCAUUAUGGUGGGUUGGGAUGGUUACUAUGCUGAUCGGUGAAAUUGCUAAUUUCGUGGCCUACAUGUUUGCGCCUGCCGUCCUGGUCACCCCACUUGGGGCGCUGAGCAUAAUUGUCAGUGCUGUUCUAGCCCAUUUCAUCCUGAAUGAGAAGCUGCAGCGGAUGGGUGUGUUGGGUUGUGUGCUCUGUAUAGUUGGGUCAACUGUAAUCAUCCUCCAUGCGCCCGAAGAAGAGACACCAAGCUCAGUGGCGCAGAUUUGGCACUUGGCAACACAACCUGCCUUUGUUUGUUAUGCGGCCUUUGCGUUGGUGAUCUCAUUGGUAUUGAUGCUGCACUGUGCACCCCGCUAUGGCCAGACCAAUAUAGUGGUUUAUGUGGGAAUUUGCUCGGUCAUAGGAUCUUUGACGGUAAUGAGCAUCAAGGCAGUAGGCAUUGCUAUCAAGCUUACAAUUGAGGGUAUAAACCAGGCUUGCUAUUUCCAAACCUGGUUGUUUGCAACUGUUUCAGCUACAUGCAUAGUUAUUCAGUUAGUUUACCUGAACAAGGUGCAGUCGGCAUGAACUUUAAAAUUUAGGACUGGUCCGGGCAGAGUAUAAGCAGUAUUGCCUCCGAGAUUUGCGGAUUCCUUACUGUGCUUACUGGUACUGUUGUGCUGCAUUCUACAAGAGAACAUGAUCCAACCCUUUCUUCAGAUCUGUACACACCUCUUCCCCCAAUAUAUUGGCAUAUUCAAGGUAACAGUGAAACAGGAGGUAAACAGAAAGAGGAUGAUCUACUCUCUGGCGACUUUAUUACUGUGGUGCGACAGGACUAUUUUAUCUAGAAGCCUUCCAGGAUGCUCAAACACCUUGAAAGGAUCCUACUUAUGCUCCGUGUUCUGCGGCCCUCCCACCUUGCAUGGUUCAUCAUUGAGAAACUCAUGAUGCUUUGUCAUAGUCGUCUCGAAACCUUCCUGCGGUCAUUUGACGAACCUGAGUAAUUGCUAAUUUUUGUAGAAAUGGUAGGAUUUGCCGAAGUACCGGUUUGAUCACUGGGCAGCUGGGCCGAUCGCUGUAGUAAGAUAUAAGCAAUAUGUCUUCUAGUUUGCUGGUGUGAGCAAGGUUUUGCUGCCAGAUCGUCAGGAUGCAGCCAGAUGGGUUAUGCGUGUUGCUUCAUCCAUCUGAAAAUCUCUAGCUAGCCUGACAGUUUUCGGCAGAUGUAUUUAUACUGUACAGUUUAAUGUAAAUUUAUGAAUUAGAGCUAACAGAAGCUGCGCAUAUGUUCCGAGACAAACCUUGUCGAGCUUAUUUUGGUUAAAUUGGCGAGUUUAUCUGUUGGUUGUUGUGUUA